UCAUUUUUUAAAUUCCCAUCUUAUGUCAGACUCUACAAAGGUCUGCAAACCUCAGAGACAAAAUGAUUCUGCUUUUGUGGAGGUCACGUUCCAGCAGGAAAAGAGCCCUAGGACCCAUAAAUGAAGCGUCAUGUGGUCGACAUUAAAGUAAGGAGCCCGGAAAACGCAGGAAUCAAAGUUCCCCGGAUAUGCAACUCACACGCAACAAACAGACUCCACCCUCUGUGCUGCUUCAGGGAGAGGUAUGGAACAGGCAUGAGCAUUCUCAUUUGUAGACGACGAGAAGAGGACCUGGAGUUUAAGCCACUUUCAAGACCACGCUACUCCUUAGGGGCAGAACCAGGAAUUCAAGCCAGAUCAUCUCAUUCCCAGAUGAUCCGUGGAUUCAAACCAGGCAAGACAAGUAGACUCUGUCCAGAGACUAAGAGCAGUUUUCAAAUCCCAGAGGAUGAACAGCAAGGCAAGAACCCAUAAAGACCUCCUUGGAGCUGAAGGAUGAACACGGC
rnacentral:lncRNA from 1 species